rnacentral:misc_RNA from 1 species
CCCUGAAGAAAUCUUGUACAACUUCUCCUUCUCCCCAGUCUUGUCUUGCUUUUCUGGUCUAACCAAAGUGUAUGCCAGUCGGAAAGCAUUCUCCAAUAAUAGCCUAUGGUAGUCCAUAAAAAUAUCANNNNNNNNNNAUGGGCUUUUGCAUAUGAAUCUGAAAAAAAUGGAGAGAAAUUACCAGCUGGUAAAUCUCUCCUAACUGUUAAUAGAGCCCCACAUCCAGAACCAGCAUGCAUACCAUGUGUGGCUUCAAAAUUAGCAUUAGGGGACUUAAAAACAUCCACUAGCUGCCGCAGAAUAUCCAUCAGAUAAUUAACAAAUGCUUGAUUCCUGAGAGUGUUGCAAGCUCGAAGCAGCUGUGAUGUAAAGUCAUUUUUCUCUUGACCAUCCAAGGAAGACUGAGAGGCAACUGAGCUAACCUGGAUAACAUUCUUAUCAUGCGAGUCUGCAGGUCCACUUGAUUUUGGAAUAGAACCAUCACUACCAGGCUGGUGCCAAUUUCGG